UAAAAUCAGAAAAUUACAUUUAUACUCACAAAGUUGAAUCCGUUAGAGAAGUGUUUGUUUUGAAUUUUUAUUAACGAAAUUGCCCCUAACCCUUUUUAAGACUCACACUUCUCUUUUAUACCCAAACAUCAUGUACAAAGAGGACAACAUUGGAGGACUACGGUGGAGAGGAGGAGAGGAUAUUCCGACGGAUUUUUCAGCCGAUACCAGACCCAUCCGAGAAAAAAAGAAAAUGACAGUGACGGCGGCCACCGAAAUUCCCCUACAAGAUCAAAUAUUUUGAACCAUUGGGAGAGUAGUAAUGCCAGAGGAGGACCUGGUCGAGCUUAAGUUCAGGCUGUACGAUGGGAUCGACAUCGGACCUAUCCAGUAUUCGUCAGCCUCCACUGUUGCCAUGCUCAAGGGAAGUUAUUAUGACUGUUGGUGCGAAGCCCGCCAUUGAAAUUGUGGCUAUUGUUAUUGCUAAGAUUGACAGGAGAUUCACGGUGGCGAUUCUUGGAAUAAGAUCUAGGUGUGGCAUUCGUCGAUGGUGGUGGAUGAGAAGGCAUGUCAACAAACUCUGUAAAUGAAGACGACGAAGCCGAUGAUAGCGCCGUCGGAUUCCAUUCCGAAACCAUGGAGACUCAGCAGAAGGCAUGCAUUAGAGAGAGAAGACUACAAAGUGAAAAUGAUUCAGAUAAUGUCGGAUUAGCAAAUGAAAUUUCCAUUGAGGAUCACCAGAAUCCAUGACGGUGGUGGUAGAGGUUCGGAGAAGAAACUUAAUUUUUGUUUUCAGAGGCUAUAAUUGGAAGAGAAUAACCAAAGAAAGCCAAAGCCACCUCAACUGGUUGGAGAUUACACAGAAUGGAAGGCAGAUGUAUCACCGUAGCCCGUCGCCUGAGAAGAAACCAAUUUCGGAAAACGACUUCGGCAGAGAUGACUUCGCCUGUAGAGAUUCAACUUCACCGGCAGAGAUGACUUCGCCUGCAAAGACUUCGUUGGAGAGAGGUACAAUCGCCUGAGAACUCCAAAAACCCUGCUAACAAGUGAGGUAGGGAUGCUGAACACUAAAGGGCAAAAUGGGAUUUUCAGUAAAAUUCUAUUCAGUUAACAGAAUGACCCUACAAAUAUGCUAACGGUGUUAACUUUUUGGGUUUAAAUGUAUUUUUCUGAUUUUCAGGUGAAUUAUGUAAUUUGAGCAAACGACAAGGGAGAUUGAUGUAAAUCACCUA